UGGGGAAUAUUGCACAAUGGAGGGAACUCUGAUGCAGCGACGCCGCGUGAACGAAGAAGGCUUUCGUGUCGUAAAGUUCUUUUAUAUGGGAAGAUAAUGACGGUACCAUAAGAAAAAGCCCCGGCUAACUACGUGCCAGCAGCCGCGGUAAUACGUAGGGGGCUAGCGUUGUCCGGAAUCACUGGGGGUAAAGGGUUCGCAGGCGGAAAUGCAAGUCAGGUGUAAAAGGCAGUAGCUUAACUACUGUAAGCAUUUGAAACUGCAUAUCUUGAGAAGAGUAGAGGUAAGUGGAAUUUUUAGUGUAGCGGUGAAAUGCGUAGAUAUUAAAAAGAAUACCGGUGGCGAAGGCGACUUACUGGGCUCAUUCUGACGCUGAGGAACGAAAGCGUGGGUAGCAAACAGG
rnacentral:rRNA from 1 species